rnacentral:rRNA from 1 species
CCAAUAGCGUAUAUUAAAGUUGUUGCAGUUAAAAAGCUCGUAGUUGAAUUUCGGGAUUAGUAAGUUGGUCGUGCCUCUGGUAUGUACUGGCUUUACUGGUUCCUCCUUCUUGAAGAACUGUAAUGUCAUUAAUUUGGUGUUGCAGGGAAACAGGACUGUUACUUUGAAAAAAUUAGAGUGUUUAAAGCAGGCUAACGCUUGAAUACAUUAGAAUGGAAUAAUGAAAUAGGACGUUUGAUCCUAUUUUGUUGGUUUCUAGGAUUGACGUAAUGAUUAAUAGGGAUAGUUGGGGGCAUUAGUAUUCAAUUGUCAGAGGUGAAAUUCUUGGAUUUAUUGAAGACUAACUACUGCGAAAGCAUUUGCCAAGGAUGUUUUCAUUAAUCAAGAACGAAAGUUAGGGGAUCGAAGACGAUCAGACACCGUCGUAGUCUUAACCAUAAACUAUGCCGACUAGGGAUCGGAUGAUGUUAAUUUUUUAAUGACUCAUUCGGCGCCUUACG